UUCAUGAUGGUUGAGAGGCCAAAAAAUUGGUCUUUACACCUCAAAAGGGCUUUUGACAACCCCAAGAGCUUGAACGCUCAAAAAACUCGGCUAAGCCUUGAGUUUGGAGGAAGUUAUUGCUCAAAGUUAAAUUUAGGGUCUUUUCCAAUUCGUCGGAAUAGUUUAUUUGGGUGAGAGGUGAUCGACUCAAUUCUCGUCGCCCCCGUUGCUGCUCGGUAAAAAGAUACCCAGGGUCAAGAGACGGAGAAGUUCAAACUACUUUUGCAACAAAAAAAAGAUCAACUGAGCCAAGUCAUUGCUCCUCCAACUCUCCAAGCCAAGCUCGAAGCAGCUAAAAGAGAGAACCUCCGGUUGAAAACUGAGCUCGACGAAGCAGUCGAAAUAAGCAAAGUCUUGGAAGAGGACAACAAAAAUCUCAACCGAGGGAACGCCGAAUAUGCCACCAAACUUGGUGAGUUUGAAGCUACUAUCACCCAAUUGAGGGAGGGGCUUGAUUCGGUCAAAGGCAAGGCUGCAAAACGGAGGAGAAGUUCAAGCAGCUCGAAGUAGAGAGGGCCACAGCGAAAGACAGGUUAAAGGUUGUUGAAGAAAAGGCCGAGAAUCGAGCCCGAAUCUGUGACGAGCUCAAGAGUGAGCUCGAGGCCUCUCUCCGAGCCAAUGAUGCACUUCAAGCCGAGCUGGCAGCUUCUAACGAGGUUUGGGUCACUUUGAGUGAUAUGAAGUCCGAACUGGAGAAAAAAAUUAAAGAAAGCUUAGGCCCACCUGGAGGAAGCCCACAAAGAAAUUGAGGCUAUCGAGGAUCGUUCCACUAUUCUAGUUGAACACGAGAAGUGAAAGUCUCGAAGGUGUACACUUGAGGCGGUUCAUCAGGGUAUUGAAGACAUCCCUGCUUGUUUAACCGACGCAAAAAUGAUCGAGGAUAGGGCCAGGAAAGCACUCGAGGAUAGCUCCGAGGAAGACCCUGAAGGGUCCGGCUCUGAUGACUCGGGUUCUUCCUCGACAGAAUAAAUAGGGCUCGUAGGACCUUUGUUUUUGUUUUUGAUCCUUGUGAUUUUCACAAAUGUAAAGCUUCGGCCCUUUAUACUCUAUAUAAAAUUCGUAUGGGCUUUUUCCUUUUGCCAGUAUUUUUCUCAAUCUUUAAAUCGGGUAUAAUUUAUGAUAUUGUUUCGUAUUGA